AGAACGAACGCUGGCGGCAUGCCUAACACAUGCAAGUCGAACGAGACCUUCGGGUCUAGUGGCGCACGGGUGCGUAACGCGUGGGAAUCUGCCCUGGGGUACGGAAUAACAGUGAGAAAUUACUGCUAAUACCGUAUGAUGACGUAAGUCCAAAGAUUUAUCGCCCUGGGAUGAGCCCGCGUAGGAUUAGCUAGUUGGUGGGGUAAAGGCCUACCAAGGCGACGAUCCUUAGCUGGUCUGAGAGGAUGAUCAGCCACACUGGGACUGAGACACGGCCCAGACUCCUACGGGAGGCAGCAGUGGGGAAUAUUGGACAAUGGGCGAAAGCCUGAUCCAGCAAUGCCGCGUGAGUGAUGAAGGCCUUAGGGUUGUAAAGCUCUUUUACCCGGGAAGAUAAUGACUGUACCGGGAGAAUAAGCCCCGGCUAACUCCGCGCCAGCAGCCGC
rnacentral:rRNA from 1 species